GAGUUUGAUCGUGGCUCAGAUUGAACGCUGGCGGCAGGCUUAACACAUGCAAGUCGAGCGGGGGAGAUUGCUUCGGUAAUUGACCUAGCGGCGGACGGGUGAGUAAUACUUAGGAAUCUGCCUAUUAAUGGGGGACAACAUCUCGAAAGGGAUGCUAAUACCGCAUACGCCCUACGGGGAAAGCAGGGGAUCACUUGUGACCUUGCGUUAAUAGAUGAGCCUAAGUCGGAUUAGCUAGUUGGUGGGGUAAAGGCCUACCAAGGCGACGAUCUGUAGCGGGUCUGAGAGGAUGAUCCGCCACACUGGGACUGAGACACGGCCCAGACUCCUACGGGAGGCAGCAGUGGGGAAUAUUGGACAAUGGGGGAACCCUGAUCCAGCCAUGCCGCGUGUGUGAAGAAGGCCUUAUGGUUGUAAAGCACUUUAAGCGAGGAGGAGGCUCCUGUAGUUAAUACCUACAGAGAGUGGACGUUACUCGCAGAAUAAGCACCGGCUAACUCUGUGCCAGCCGCCGCCGUAACG
rnacentral:rRNA from 1 species